GAUAUAUCCUUAUGGACCCCCUAGGGUUUCAGUAAGCAGGUUAAAAAGAAGAAUUACUAAUUUUGUUCACUUGUGCAUGAAAUUGAAAUGUUGUAUGGAUAUUGGUUUUCAAAAGUUGAUUUUUAGGUAAAUAUGGAGUAAAUGUUUUAAUGUUAAAUUAAUUUACUCAAAUUAAGGACUCUAUUAGUUGUUUUGUGAUUUUGGC
rnacentral:lncRNA from 1 species